GACGAACGCUGGCGGCGUGCUUAACACAUGCAAGUCGAACGGAGAGGCCCUGCUUUUGUGGGGUGCUCGAGUGGCGAACGGGUGAGUAACACGUGAGUAACCUGCCCUUGACUUUGGGAUAACUUCAGGAAACUGAGGCUAAUACCGGAUAGGAGCUCCUGCUGCAUGGUGGGGGUUGGAAAGUUUCGGCGGUUGGGGAUGGACUCGCGGCUUAUCAGCUUGUUGGUGGGGUAGUGGCUUACCAAGGCUUUGACGGGUAGCCGGCCUGAGAGGGUGACCGGCCACAUUGGGACUGAGAUACGGCCCAGACUCCUACGGGAGGCAGCAGUGGGGAAUAUUGCACAAUGGGCGGAAGCCUGAUGCAGCAACGCCGCGUGCGGGAUGACGGCCUUCGGGUUGUAAACCGCUUUCGCCUGUGACGAAGCGUGAGUGACGGUAAUGGGUAAAGAAGCACCGGCUAACUACGUG
rnacentral:rRNA from 1 species